CUUUUGGAAAACAGUGUUAUGUGUCAGGCUCUUAACCUGAAGGUGGAAAAUUUAGUUUUCUCCAGAGG
rnacentral:tRNA from 1 species